CGGUGUUCAACCAGUCACAGCUGGCACAGGGGGGGGGGUGAUAGUAGCACUCCAGUCACAUGGCUCAGACACGUCAAAGGUCACUCAUGCGAUAAUAACAAGAUUCCACCCUCACGCUCCACUCAGUAGACUCUGCCUCCUUGAUUUUUGGACAAACUAACCUUGCUAAAUUGGCCAUUGGCCUGCGCAUGUGCACUGAGCGUGUGACGCACACAGUUGUAGCUAGCUGUACAAUGCGAUUGUUGCGGAGAGAGUGUAAUAUACGAUGAAGUCAUUAAGAGAGGAUAAUGGAGCAAGGAGUGGCCAAUGAGUGGGCAGCAUCAGUGGAUAGCACAGAACCUGAGUGUUAAAGGUGAUAGCAGCGUGGUUGGUUCCCUGCUCCCUG